AAAUAUAGUGAAAAAUCUGUGCCCAAACCCUCAUUUUCAUCUUCCACAAUAAGCUAGAGAGAGAGAGAGAAAACAACUAGCAAAUUGGAGCUCAAAUUUGUUGAUCCAAAAUCAGAUUUUUCAAAGUAUUCCAACCAGUUAGGAAGGCUAUAAUAACGUGGAUUAGUCAUUUGGAGCAACAAGAACAAGUAUUAGUUCAUUUCACAACUUCUAACCAAAUUAAGAAGCCAACUUGUUAAGACCUUGGGGAGCCCGAGGCGUAGAUUGGGAUUUACUUUAGAUUGGCUAUCUUGGAGUGCGUACGAGGUACAAAUGCACAGUUUGGUGACCCACCAGUUUAGGACACCCUCUUCUGCUGUUUGGAGUGCUCCUCUUAUUUCGGAGCCUACCUUUUGGCAUAUAUCUUAGUUUGUACAUAUGUAUAUAUUUGUUCAGGGGUACGGCGGGGUCCUGUCCCGCCAUAUGUUUCGGUUGGUCUGUUUAGAGGUCUGUAGACGUAUUUGUGGGUGUGUGUGCCUACUUCUGUACAGAUGUGUUUGUAUGACCCUGUUCGUUAUGGCAGCCUUGUCGGCGUGCACUUUGUAUAUGUUUUGGGCCGUUGCGCCAUCUGUUAGCCUUGUCGGCUUUUGAUACUUUUGAUAGCCUUGUCGGCUUUUGAUACAUUUGAUAGCCUUGCCGGCUUUUUGAUAUAUGCAUACGUAUAUGGUUGCGCUGAAA